rnacentral:rRNA from 1 species
UUAUGGCUCAGGAUGAACGCUAGCUACAGGCCUAACACAUGCAAGUCGAGGGGCAGCAGAUCGAAGCUUGCUUUGAUGCUGGCGACCGGCGAAUGGGUGAGUCACGCGUGUCCAACCUGCCCUGUGCCCGGGGAUAGCCCUUGGAAAUGAGGAUUAACACCCGAUACGUGGCGCUUCCGCAUGGCGGCGCCAUGAAACCGACACAGGAUGGGGACGCGUCGGAUUAGCUUGACGGCGGGGCGACGGCCCACCGUGGCGACGAUCCGCAGGGGUUCUGAGAGGAAGGUCCCCCACACUGGCACUGAGACACGGGCCAGACUCCUACGGGAGGCAGCAGUGAGGAAUAUUGGUCAAUGGCCGAGAGGCUGAACCAGCCAAAGUAGCGUGCAGGACGACGGCCCUACGGGUUGUAAACUGCUUUUGCGGGAGGAUAAAGGACACUACGUGUAGUGUUUUGCAGGUAUCCCGUGAAUAAGGACCGGCUAAUUCCGUGCCAGCCGCCGC